rnacentral:rRNA from 1 species
CAACUACAGUUGGUGGAUCACUCGGCUCG